rnacentral:rRNA from 1 species
GAUCCUGGCUCAGGAUGAACGCUGGCGGCGUGCUUAACACAUGCAAGUCGAGCGAAGCACUUUACUUGGAUUUCUUCGGAAUGACGAGUAUUNUGACUGAGCGGCGGACGGGUGAGUAACGCGUGGGUAACCUGCCUCAUACAGGGGGAUAACAGUUAGAAAUGACUGCUAAUACCGCAUAAGACCACAGCACCGCAUGGUGCAGGGGUAAAAACUCCGGUGGUAUGAGAUGGACCCG